UACGGGGGGGGCAAGCGUUGUUCGGAAUUACUGGGCGUAAAGGGCGCGUAGGCGGCCUUCUAAGUCGGACGUGAAAUCCCUCGGCUUAACCGAGGAACUGCGUCCGAUACUGAAAGGCUUGAAUCCGGGAGAGGGAUGUGGAAUUCCAGGUGUAGCGGUGAAAUGCGUAGAUAUCAACUGGAAUGCCGAUGGGGAAGCCGUCCGGCUGGGCCUGUCCUGACACUGAGGCACGAAAGCGUGGGGAGCAAACAGG
rnacentral:rRNA from 1 species